CUUUGUCCUUCUAGCUAAAUAAACCCUGCAGCCUUUUUUGCACUACAAUGUGAUGACUAUGGAUCUUUAUUUGUGGUACUUGUUUGGGAGUUUGCAGACCUCAACCACAGUGCUCCAUUGUAAUUUUUCUUGUGUGCAACACACACCCCUUAUAUUGUAUCAAAAAAAUGACGAACUCUUCUAGCAACCUACUCCCCUUUACCUCUUGUGUUUGAGCAGGGCCCUCAACACUCUGUUACUGUGUGUCCAAUGUGUCUUGUUGCAAGUACUUGCCUGUUAGUCCACCUAUUGUAAAGCACUGCAGAAUUUGUUAAUGCUUUAUAAAUAAUAAGAAGAAGAACAAUGUAUCUUAUUUACACAGACUAAUUGCUACACACAUUUAUUGUAGUUUAAAGAAGCACUAUUGGGAGUAUUAUUGCUGUGGAGCUCUGCUAUACACUCAAACACAGCAACAAUGUGGAGCUCAUAGAAAAGAGAUAUUAGGAUAGAAAAGAGGGACCGAGGUAUUUGGGUUCCAAAUAGGGAUUGUCUCUCCUAAAUAGGGACACUUGGG